rnacentral:tRNA from 1 species
GAAAUAUGAAAUCCAAGAAAAAGCUUCUAACUUUUUACUUUAGCGGUGAAACUCCGUUAAUAUUUCU